rnacentral:rRNA from 1 species
ACGCUCGACACCUACGGGGGGCAGCAGUGGGGAAUAUUGCACAAUGGGGGAAACCCUGAUGCAGCGACGCCGCGUGAAGGAAGAAGUAUCUCGGUAUGUAAACUUCUAUCAGCAGGGAAGAAAAUGACGGUACCUGACUAAGAAGCCCCGGCUAACUACGUGCUAGCAGCCGCGGUAAUCUGAGCGGGCUGGCAAGGC